rnacentral:rRNA from 1 species
AUACAGAGGGUGCGAGCGUUAAUCGGAAUUACUGGGCGUAAAGCGCGCGUAGGCGGCUUAUUAUGUCAGAUGUGAAAUCCCCGGGCUCAACCUGGGAACUGCAUCUGAUACUGGUAAGCUAGAGUUUUGGAGAGGGAAGUAGAAUUUCAGGUGUAGCGGUGAAAUGCAUAGAGAUCUGAAGGAAUACCAGUGGCGAAGGCGACUUCCUGGCCAAAAACUGACGCUGAGGUGCGAAAGCGUGGGUAGCAAACGGGAUUAGAAACCCUAGUAGUCC